rnacentral:rRNA from 1 species
AACGAACGCUGGCGGCAUGCCUAACACAUGCAAGUCGAACGAGACCUUCGGGUCUAGUGGCGCACGGGUGCGUAACGCGUGGGAACCUGCCCUUAGGUUCGGAAUAACUCCCCGAAAGGGGUGCUAAUACCGGAUAAUGUCUUCGGACCAAAGAUUUAUCGCCUUUGGAUGGGCCCGCGUUGGAUUAGCUAGUUGGUAGGGUAAACGCCUACCAAGGCGACGAUCCAUAGCUGGUCUGAGAGGAUGAUCAGCCACACUGGGACUGAGACACGGCCCAGACUCCUACGGGAGGCAGCAGUGGGGAAUAUUGGACAAUGGGCGAAAGCCUGAUCCAGCAAUGCCGGGUGAGUGAUGAAGGCCUUAGGGUUGUAAAGCUCUUUUACCCGGGAUGAUAAUGACAGUACCGGGAGAAUAAGCUCCGGCUAACUCCGUG